UGCCGAAAAGGGCUCACGGGAAUCUGUCCCUGAGCAACACGGGCGGCCACGAGCGUGACUCACAGCAGGACACGUGGAUUCGGAACCGUAGGUCCCUAAGGUGACCUGGCUGUCCCCCACACAAGCCGACCCCUCUCCGGUCCCCGGCAAAGCUUGCUGGUGAUCCCGCUGCUUUGCCCAGACACCAGGAGGUGUUUUUUGAACGACCUCAGCAUCAAUGGGCGGACUUUGUGUAAAGCAGAUAACCCUCCGCGAGGUGGGCCGCAUCCAAUCAGUCGACGGUCUUACUGGAACAUAGACUGACGCCCCGAGCCAGAGGGAAUUCUGCCGGCGACGGCACCCCACCUGCAGGUAGGGACACUUUCCAGUUCCCAUGCCUUUUCUUUCUUUCUCCUGCCGCGGUGUGGUGGCCGGAACUUCCACGAACACGCUGAAUGAAGUGACAACGAGCUCCUGACCUUCGACCUUCUCGGGAGGGUGUGCAGCCGCCCCCCGCCGGGCAUGACGUUCCCCUCCGUGUUCUCGCAGAUGCUUCUCAUCAGUAGGUUACGGCGCCGAUGCACUUUGUGGUCGUCUUUCUGGCGUGUUUUCGUCGUCUGCUCCUUCUGAAGAUCGAAUUCUCAGUCCCAGGGAGGAAGGAGUGGGCAGGGGGCUGCCACAUCCGUUCCAGGCCGCGGGCGUCUGGAACCACCCGGAAAGUAGUUCUGGUCUGGACGCCACAUUUAAGGCACCGAAUGAUUCAUGAAGUUUCAUUGCUUAGUCCAUUUAUGCUAAGGCCACUGAACUGCGCAUGGAAUUCAAAGACGAGGCCCGACGAGGUUCUCACAAUAACGCCUUUCGACACCUGUAGAGACGUGAGUGCGUGAGAACCGCAAGGCCCAGCAUGGGCCUGGCCGCCUUCCCGUGUUUGGGGCGACACCUUGCGCAUGGUGUCGCUCCACGGAUAGCGUGGCAUAGAUGGACGACGUCGGGGACGAAUUGAAAUAUGAAUUCUUUAUUUUAAGAAAGCCACAGCCGUAUCAAGCAAAAACACCAUCCCUGGAGCUUUUGUUGUGACAAGGCCCUGUGCCGGGCCCCGUGGGAAAUCAGAACAGUGCGGAUCGUGAAGUCUGUCCUCGAACUUACCAUGUUUGAGGAAACAGAUUCGUUUUGAUUGUGUUUCCCUGGGGUGGCCCGGGCGGUGGCUUUGGGAUGCACGGCCA